rnacentral:rRNA from 1 species
UGGCGAACGGGUGAGUAACACGUGGGUGAUCUGCCCUGCACUCUGGGAUAAGCCUGGGAAACUGGGUCUAAUACCGGAUAGGACCAUGCUUUAGUGUGUGUGUGGUGGAAAGUUUUUUCGGUGUAGGAUGAGCCCGCGGCCUAUCAGCUUGUUGGUGGGGUAAUGGCCUACCAAGGCGGCGACGGGUAGCCGGACUGAGAGGUUGGUCGGCCACAUUGGGACUGAGAUACGGCCCAG